rnacentral:lncRNA from 1 species
AUGCACAAGGGAUGCAGCAGCUUUGGUUUGGGGGCUCGCGUCCCCCGACGGCUCCUUCCCUCUGCUCCCGAGGAGGCGAGAUGUGCCGGGCAGGGGAAGGGCUGCAGUUCAACGCCGGGUCCUGCACGAUUUCUAGGCGGCAGGAGGGUUUUCCCGGAGCUGCAGCGUGUUCCCCCUCCAGCUCCCGAAACCCCACGGCCCCGUCCCGUCAGCAAUGCGCGGCGGCGUGCUCGGCACUGUACAUCCCCGCGAAGCGGCCGGGGCCGGCAGCAGGUGGAGGAGGAGGGGGCACGUAGCCACCUCCGUGGGGAUGCAGGGACGGGGGUCCCCGCUCGCCGCGCGUGCUGGGACGUCCUGGGCAUGGGGUGCCACUCGGAGGGUCCCCGCAGGGCAAGCGGGAAGAUCGCUACCUCUGGGGGAGCUGUCAUGGCAUCCCCCCCCCCCCAAAAAACCACCACCUCGCCCAUCCCCUCCACAGCCCGCACCGGUACCGUGCCGGGGGGUUUGGGGGGGGGUGUGGGAAGGAGAUGGGGGUCCCCUCUGGCCCGGCCCCGUUGCAGAGCUCUGGGGAGUCUGGCAAUGGGGAAACUGAGGCACGGAGGGGCUGGCGGCUGGGGGGGGCGCGGAGCUCGGCCCCGCCGCCUACUUACGAGCCCGGGCUCGGCUCUCGGGGGCGACGAGCAGCAGCAGGCACCGGAGGAGGAAGGCGAGGGCGCCCGGCCCGGGAAGCAUCGCAGCCCGGCGGACGUGGGCUUCGCUGCCGGGGCCCGGGGGUGCCGCGGUGCCGGGCCCGGGGGUGUCUCGGUCCCGGUGCCGGGGGUGUCUCGGUCCCGGUGCUCCGGGAUGCCUCGGUCCCGGUGCUCGGGGAUGCCUCGGUCCCGGUCCCGGGGAUGCCUUGGUGCCGGUCCCGGGAAUGUCUCGGUCCCGGUGCCGGGGAUGUGUCGGUCCCGGUGCUCGAGGGUGUCUCGGUCCCGGUGCCGGGGGGGUGUCGGUCCCGGUCCCGGGAAUGCCUCGGUCCCGGUGCCGGGGGUGUCUCGGUCCCGGUGCCGGGGAUGCCUCGGUCCCGAUGCUCGGGGGUGUCUCGGUCCCGGUCGUGCCUUGGUCCCGGUGCCGGAGGUGUCUCGGUGCCGGUGCCGGGGAUGCCUCGCUCCCGGGGCUGGAGUCCGGCGAUGCAGCGGUGUCGGUGCCGGCGCCCGGGUGCUUCGGUAG